rnacentral:rRNA from 1 species
GAAGUCGGAAUUGCUAGUAAUCGCGGAUCAGCAUGCCGCGGUGAAUACGUUCCCGGGUCUUGUACACACCGCCCGUCACACCACGAGAGUUUACAACACCCGAAGUCGGUGAGGUAACCAUCUGCAAACUUGUUUGCUAGCGGAGCCAGCCGCCGAAGGUGGGGUAGAUGAUUGGGGUGAAGUCGUAACAAGGUAGCCGUAUCGGAAGGUGCGGCUGGAUCACCUCCUUUCUAUGGAGA